UAGGGAACCUGCCCAUGCGGCCGGGACAACUUCCGGAAACGGAUGCUGAUACCGGAUAAGGAAAGCGAAGGCAUCUUUGCUUUGUUAAAGGAGCUGCAAGGCUCCGCGCAGUGGAUGGACCUGCGGUGCAUUAGCUGGUUGGUGAGGUAAAGGCUCACCAAGGCGACGAUGCAUAGCCGGCCUGAGAGGGCGAACGGCCACACUGGGACUGAGACACGGCCCAGACUCCUACGGGAGGCAGCAG
rnacentral:rRNA from 1 species